rnacentral:rRNA from 1 species
UGCUUUAAGCAUGCAAGUGGAACGAGAGUAGCAAUACUCAAGUCGCGAACGGCUGAGUAACACGUAAGAACUUACCCCUUGGUGGUGAAUACCUCGUCGAAAGACGAGCUAAUGCAGCAUAAGAUCGUGAGAUGAAAGCACGUAACUGUGCGCCGAGGGAGAGGCUUGCGGCCUAUCAGUUUGUUGGUGGGGUAAUGGCCUACCAAGACUACGACGGGUAGGGGACGUGAGAGCGUGACCCCCCAGAAUGGGACUGAGACACGGCCCAUACACCUACGGGUGGCAGCAACUGGGAAUCGUGCGCAAUGGACGAAAGUCUGACGCCGCGACGCCGCGUGUUUGAUGAAGGCAUUCGUGUCGUAAACCUC